AUUGAACGCUGGCGGCAGGCCUAACACAUGCAAGUCGAACGAGUGGCGGACGGGUGAGUAAUGUCUGGGAAACUGCCCGAUGGAGGGGGAAAACUACUGGAAACGGUAGCUAAUACCGCAUACUAUCCGUUGUGCCCAGAUGGGAUUAGCUUGUUGGUGGGGUAACGGCUCACCAAGGCGACGACCCCUAGCCGGUCUGAGAGGAUGACCGGCCACACUGGGACUGAGACACGGUCCAGACUCCUACGGGAGGCAGCAGUGGGGAAUAUUGCGCAAUGGGCGCAAGCCUGAUAGAGCCAUGCCGCGUGUAUGAAGAAGGCCUUCGGGUUGUAAAGUACUUUCAGCGGGGAGGCGUUACCCGCAGAAGAAGCACCGGCUAACUCCGUGCCAGCAGCCGCGGUAAUAC
rnacentral:rRNA from 1 species